AUACGUAGGUGGCAAGCGUUGUCCGGAAUUAUUGGGCGUAAAGCGCAUGUAGGCGGUAAUUUAAGUCUGUCGUGAAACUGCGGGGCUCAGCCCCGUAUGGCGAUGGAAACUGGGUUACUUGAGUGCAGGAGAGGAAAGGGGAACUCCCAGUGUAGCGGUGAAAUGUGUAGAUAUUGGGAAGAACACCGGUGGCGAAGGCGCCUUUCUGGACUGUGUCUGACGCUGAGAGGCGAAAGCCAGGGUAGCGAACGGGAUUAGAUACCCCGGUAGUCCUGGCCGUAAACGAUGGGUACUAGGUGUGGGAGGUAUCGACCCCUUCCGUGCCGGAGUUAACGCAAUAAGUACCCCGCCUGGGGAGUACGGCCGCAAGGCUUAAACUCAAAUGAAUUGACGGGG
rnacentral:rRNA from 1 species